GAUCCUGGCUCAGGAUGAACGCUGGCGGCGUGCCUAACACAUGCAAGUCGAGCGAAGCGUUUUAAAGGAAGUUUUCGGAUGGAAUUUGAAAUGACUGAGCGGCGGACGGGUGAGUAACGCGUGGGUAACCUGCCUCAUACAGGGGGAUAACAGUUAGAAAUGACUGCUAAUACCGCAUAAGCACACAGUGCCGCAUGGUACAGUGUGAAAAACUCCGGUGGUAUGAGAUGGACCUGCGU
rnacentral:rRNA from 1 species